GCUGCCUUCAUUUUUUUAGACUUUUCAGAAAACUGCGUUAGAGGGCGCAGACGUCAGCCUACGAUCGCGAUUAAGAGGCUGAUCAGGAUUCUCGAAAAGCGAUCGUCCAGAUCCGGACCUCGCAACAUUGCGCUCUCAAAUGAGCGUGAAGCAACCCUCCAUCCGGAUCAAGCUCAAUCCGGAUUGGCUCGGAUCACGAUUAGAAGUAUGCCUUUGACACCGGUAUUAGUCAUUCGUCUAGGAUGUCAUCCAACGUCUCCCGACAGCAUCAGUUUUAUUGCAGACAUUGUAUAGCACAUUUCGGGCGCAAGAGCCAAAAGCUGAUAAUGUACCGUAGCGGUACGCGCUGCCCGAGCCAGUAAGCAGCAGCAGCUUGCGGUGCAAACGCCGCAUGGCACCGACGUCCUGUGCGACCAGAGACCAAGGAAGCAGCAGCGGCGAACAAGGCCGGCCAGCGAUAGCGGAGGACGUGGAGGACGGUCAGCCUCUCACCGCAUCUACCGCAGGUUGGAGGCUCGUUUCCCGCUCACUUUAAAAAAGAAGCAACUUUGAGCAAACCAAAGCAGAUGGGGCCAGACGCUGUGCCACAGGUGUUCUCAUUCAGAGCUUUGCUGAACCACCGCUAACCACCGAAGGAAAGACCUCCGUCUGAUGCACCAUCUGCCGCUUAUGAAAUAGCAAAGCCGCUUGACCGACAGACCAGCUCUUCUGCUACCACUGUCGUGCCUGCGAGAGCAGACCUAGAACAAGCAUGAUCGAGUGUCACCACGGACAUUCCGCAAAGCUGCGAGUCCCACUCUUCCUACAGAGCCUGCGCAGAGUUGAGCAAGCAGCUAUCUUUGAUCACAAAAGAAAACGCAAGACGCUUUGUCGAGACUAAAGUGUGAAACGGCGGAAGCCUGGCACCAUUGCCAAUGGCGAUUAGUUACGUCGGAAUCACCACGGAGGCACACAACUCGUGCACUGUUAUGUGAAUGUUCAUUUGUUUAUUAAAUGCCUGCAACGUCGUU